ACGGUGAAGUUGAUGAUGAUGAUGAUGAUAGUUUCAUCUUUAUUUUCGAGCAAACAUGAACAAAAUAAAUUCUGUCCAUUCAGUGGCUAACUGUUGUCUAUGUUUACUAUACGUAUACGUAUCGUCGUCAUUGAAAUUCAUAUUGUGAAACACAACACUAAAAAAAGAAAAGAAAAGAAAAAAUGACAGAAAAAUCAUUGUUGGUCAAUCUUUCAUGUCGUAUCGGAUCAAUGUUCCUAUUUGCCUGUAAUAAAUUUAUUCUGUUAUCAUUAUCAUUAUUAUUGAUGGUCAUUGUAUCAUCAAUAUGGACACUAACAACAACAGCGGCAACGGAAACAAAGUCAAACACUA